AUUUAAACUACGGAUGCGUGUUUGGGUCAAAAUUCGGAAAUUUGGAAAAUAAAUCUUAAAUAUUUUCUUUUGGCGAUUUAUGACAAAGCUUUGGCUAAAUAAGUCUAUAAUGCAUGUUAAAUGAAUAAGUUUAAAGUACUUUUCUUAUUUGUUUCAUUUUAGAUUGACCUUACUGUACCAGUGAAAUAAGUUUGCAGGAGAAGUCUUGAAGCUGGUUCGUUACGUGCAUGUAAACGUUUAAAGGUAAAAGACAUGUGAACUUGAGAAAUGAAGGUGUGGAACUUAAAGCAGUGAAAUGUCAACCUGAUUGGUUCUAAUGAGGUGUUACAAUAUAUUGAUAAAGCAGUCAAUUCACGUGUAGUAUUAUCUGAGGUCAGAUCAUAUUUCAAUUCAAUAAAAGGUAUGUGAUGUGUUUUCAGAAUAAAAUAAAUUGCUCUGUAUCAUAAAACAAACAUUGAAAAUGAGAAUUUAACAAAGCAAAACAUGAAAAAAAAGAAUAGCAAACUUGUUUUGAUUGGGGCUGCUAACGAGUUGUUCCCAGAAAAUGCAACCCCAAUUUGGCAGCCAGCUCCCGUCAAUAUUCAUUUAUUG